GGGAAGGUGCCUCAGUGGUAGAGUGCUUGCCUUGCAUGCAUGAGGCCCUGGGUUCGAUUCCUCAGCACCCCA
rfam:Dipodomys ordii contig_22550, whole genome shotgun sequence.